GAUUUUGAGUGGUGAAUCUGGUGAUAGAUUUGAGAGAUGGGAGAUUAGAGGAAGGGAUAGGGUUAGAGAAGGCAAUAAGGCAAUUUUAGGUCUUGGGUGUAGGACGUAAGACAUAUUUCAUCACUUAAGUUUGAGAGACAAAAACUGACAUGGAAGUCACUAUGAUUUUCAAAAAGCAAGGGGAAAUCUGUAUUCAAGGCAGACCUCAGGUGAGGUCAUAGUAAUUUGCCUAAUUAGAAUUGUAGUUAGUAAUU
rnacentral:lncRNA from 1 species